rnacentral:rRNA from 1 species
AGACGAACGCUGGCGGCGUGCUUAACACAUGCAAGUCGAACGAUGAACACCGGAGCUUGCUCUGGUAGGGAUUAGUGGCGAACGAGGUGAGUAACACGUGAGCAAUCUGCCCUUGACUCUGGGAUAAGCGUUGGAAACGACGUCUAAUACCGGAUACGACCUCUCUUGGCAUCAAGCGGAGGUGGAAAGAUUUAUCGGUCAAGGAUGAGCUCGCGGCCUAUCAGCUAGUUGGUGAGGUAAUGGCUCACCAAGGCGAUGACGGGUAGCCGGCCUGAGAGGGUGACCGGCCACACUGGGACUGAGACACGGCCCAGACUCCUACGGGAGGCAGCAGUGGGGAAUAUUGCACAAUGGGCGCAAGCCUGAUGCAGCAACGCCGCGUGAGGGACGAAGGCCUUCGGGUUGUAAACCUCUUUUAGCAGGGAAGAAGCGCAAGUGACGGUACCUGCAGAAAAAGCACCGGCUAACUACGUGCCAGCAGCCGCGGUAAUACGUAGGGUGCAGGCGUUGUCCGGAAUUAUUGGGCGUAAAGAGCUCGUAGGCGGUUUGU